UUGUCGGCAAACUUAAUGAUUUUUUAUUUUAUUUCACCUUUAUUUAACCAGAUAAAGCAAAGCAGAGUUUGGAUUUGUCUGCCAUAUAGCACUCUUCUGUCUAUUUGAGCUGGUCACUAGGUAAUUCUGCAAGUAUCCAUUUCUGUUUCAGAGCACUCUCGUCUGUGUGCCAGAGUGCAGAAUAACUCGUGAAUUUAUGACGCUCAACACCAGUUGAAUAUGGCCGGUGUCAGUAAACGUUGGCAAAAAAAGCAUCAUUAAAUUGUUGCUAGGAGCACAGUUAGUCACCAACAAUCUGGAUAACAUGAAAACAGCCUAACCAGCUCUGCUAGGGUGAGUGAAAUGGUCAGAGUUUGGGUGGGGGCUAAAGCUUAAGAUGAUUCUUAUGGCAUUGUACACAGUCAAUUUGAACCAGAGUGACUUGACACAACAACAGGCCAAGCAAUGGAAACGACACAGGACGUCUUAUUUAAUGAAAGGAGUUGCAGUCUGCCGUGAAGCAUUCAUCCAUGUAUAAGGUCAUUCAAGGAGAAUGGUCUAAUGCCUCCCAUCAAAAAGAGACCUGGCCCAAGCAAGCGCAGCUUACACCUGAAGCAUGAGGACUUGCAGCGAGUGGUGAAACGUCAUUAACAACUACACAGAGGAUAAUGCAAUAGUGUUACCAGGACGCCACACAGGACACAAACACUUUGGUGCAAAGCUGCUGUCGUCCCAUGUGACAAAAGCAGCAGUGUGGCGUCUCUACAAGGAAUGGAACACUUGGUAUGUAAAGCAUAAACAACACGUUUUCAUUAUUUAACUGACCAACAUGACUGGCACUACUUUGAUUGAUCUCACAUUACUUCUGUAUUUUCCAGAGGUAUGUGUAGUCAGGCUGUGUGUUAUCAUUUUAACUUCCAAUUUCCAAGAUUAUGUUUCUGUAUGCAGUGCUGCUGCUCUGCACAUUUGUAGGUAAGUGAAACUUACCUGAUAACGAUGCAUUACAAAAUGAUAUCACGUUUUACAUUACAUUUUCUUUUCAUUAACUUAUCUUAAUGUUCUUUUGUUGUUUGCAGGUGCACUAUCCUUCUGACCCUAUGCAGCCAGGUCCCAUCUACUUUUUAACUCCUCGCAAGUGUGGCUUGUUUGGUGUCUGCUGUGAAGGAAUACCACAACAAGUCAACUACUUGAUUGAUGUAGGCAUGUCAUCCAGCAAAGGCAGCAGCGCAGUCAUCAACUACAUGCACCAUUUCUUCACCAACCACGGAGUUGUGGAAACAUGUGUGGACCUGAAUUGUGAUAACUGCAGUGGCCAAAACAAGAACAAGUUUGUGCUCUGGUAUUGUGCCUGGUGGACCAUACACAAGCUCCAACACAGUCUGGGAGGAUGGUACAGUGCUGGUGGAAAGCAAUGGCUGGCAACAACAUCUGACUCCGUACUUUAGGCCACUGCCACAGUUCAAGCAGUACCAGCGCUUCAGCUUCCAUGCUCUGGAGCCUGGUGUUGCUGUCGCCAAGGAGCAUUCAAACUCAGUUGGGACCAGGUUUCAGCUGCUGCUCAACACUGACAUCCUUCGAGAGGAAGGUCUGCCUGUACAAGCACCACCUGGACUGGACACAGCUAGGCAAACGUAUCUUUUUGAGAAGAUCAAGGAGUUUUGCGACGAAGAGGCUAUGGACAUCGCAUGCCCUGCACCAAAGUCAAGGGCAGGAUAGAAACAGGCUCUCCGAAUAUAGAUUUCCUUGUUCAUGCGUUUGUCAGACGGACCAGUCAACAGCAUUAUCUGCAGUGCCUCUAUUCAAAUUACUCUCUCAUAACACACACGCCAUACGUUGCUGCAACACAUUUUUUUUAUCCUGCUGCUCAGCCACUUUACCCCUGACUGUAUGCAUAUAACUACCUCAUCUAUCACUAUCGUUAUUGAUAUUGUUCGUGCUCAUACUGUAUAUUUUAUUUAUAUUGACAUGAUCUAUUUUUGAUAUUGCUACUAUGCAAGUAACCAUUUGGCUGGACCGUUUACACCUUCUGUAGAGACCCAUCCACUUGCAAGACAAAAACUGAUAUAUAAAAUGAAUACUGAUAUGUGUGGUCAUAACAGGAUUUUGUGACAUAUGACACAGACUCACAAAACAAAAAUGCUUCGUUUGUAAGUUAUGUCUGAGUGUUGGAGUGUGCCCCUGGUUAUCCGCCAAUAAAAAUAAACAAAAACAAUCGGGUCUAGUUUAAGAAAUUUGAAAAGAUUUCUACUUACUUUUGAUACUUACUUCAGUAUUUAUAUUUUUGGCAACUUUUACUUCACUACAUUCCGAAAGAAAAUAAUGUACUUUUUUUUAACUGCAUACAUUUUCCCUGACAC